rnacentral:lncRNA from 10 species
AUGUUGGACAGGGCGCGUCUGCGCCUCCGGCCGCCGCGGCUCCCGGGGCCUCCGCCUGCAGCCGGCGGCGGAACGAGGGCAGGCGGCUGAGACAGGCGAGCUAUUUGCAUUCCCCGGCAGUCAUUUUUAUAUGCGGAGGUAAUGAAGUUGUCAGCGGCGCCCCGAGUGUGGCAGAGCCUGAUAUUCAAAUCGCCCUGCCCGCUCCGCCUGCUCCCGCCCGCUGGUCCCGGGAGCCCCAGGCUGCGCGCGCCCGCACCGCAUCGCCGCUUUGCCCCGCGACCGCGCGCGCCUCCUCGUCCUCCCCCGCGCCUUUGUUUCCGUCUCCUUCUCCUUUCCCUCCUCUUUUGUGUCGGGCCAGACUCAGCCCCAGAAACCAGCCACCCUGCCGCGUCCGACUGCCAGGGAUCCCUCACGCCGCGAGGUGGAGUCUCGCUCUGUCGCCCAGGCUGGAGUACAGUGGUGCGAUCUUGGCUCCCUGCAACUUCUGCCUCCCAGGUUCAAGCGAUUUUCCUGCCUCAGCUUCCUGAGUAGCUGGGACUACAGGAAGAGACACUAGAGAGACACUCAGCUGCAGUGAGAAUACACAGGCAUCUUCAAGUACCAGAGAUGUCUCCAAGAGCACCAGCAACCCCAGCUAUCUGGAUCUGAAGUGGAUAUGCUCAGAGACAUCCUGGCCCACCCCAAAGAAGAUGCUGCUGCACUCAGAAGACGCCAGAGCUAGCCACCACCCACACUGCAAGUCUGGAAGCUCUGCAAGGACCCAGCAAGGCAGCCUGCUCAGCGAAGGCUUUGUCUCCUGUGGCAGGAAGAGCAACAUUAAGAACAAGAACCCCGGGCUGGACUACCCCUGAGAUUUAAUGACCAGAGCUGAGACCCCCAAGACCACAAUGACUAUGGAGGGCUGUCAUUACCCUGCCUGACCCUCUAAUGCCUCUCAGUUCAAGGAGGCCACUGAGUGAAACUGAAGGCUGGUUUUCCUUGGAAGCCAGCGGCCCAUCCACCUGCUCCACUUCCCUGCCUCUUGCAGCCUCCGCUCAAACACUGUCGUGGCUUGGCAGCACUACAAGUAUUUCAGGGGCUGCCAAGCUGCUCUCCUGUUUCCUCUUCCUUGGGGCUGAUUGCAUCCCAUGAUGUGCCCAGGUUUUGAGAUGCUCCUCGUGAAUGAAAAUAGGACUGUCUGGUUCCUCCAUCCAUAGCAAGGGAGCCUAGACAGAAAUAACUUCUGUGCAUUUCUCCAGCUACAUUUAGGGAAAACUAGAAAAUACAGAAAUAUAUCAAGAAGAAAAAAAAUUUAAAAAUGACCCAAAAUCCCACCAACCAGAGACAGCUAUUAAUGAUUGUGGUAUAUUUAUUCCUCACAGCUGGGCACAGGAAA